AUUCUCCUGCUUCAGCCUCCCGAGUAGCUGGGACUAUAGGCCCGGCCACCACAACCAGCUAAUUUUUUUUUUUUUUUUUUUUUUUUUUUUAGUAGAGACGGGGUUUCACCAUGUUAGUCAGGAUGGUCUCUAUCUCCUGACCUCGCGAUCCGCCCGCUUCGGCCUCCCAAAGUGCUGGGAUUACAGGUGUGAGCCACUGUGCCCGGCUGAAAGCCUGAUAUAUCUUUCUACCAUAGCAAGAACUAGCAGCACCUUACCCAGUAUGAGACCGACCCAGGUCUGCCUUAAUAUAUAUACCGUAAUAUAUACCUAACAGUUUUUUUUUUUUUUUUGAGAGGGAGUCUCGCUCUGUCGCCCAGGCUGGAGUGCAGUAUCGCGAUAUCGGUUCGCUGCAAGCUCCGCCUCCCGGGGUCACGUCAUUCUCCUGCCUCAGCUUCCGGAGCAGCUGGGACUGCUGGCGCCCGCCACUACGCUCGGCUAAUUUUUUUGUGUUUUUAGUAGAGACGGGCUUUCACCGUGUUGGCCUAGCGGUUCUCCAACUCCUGACCUCAUGAUCCCCCCGCCUCAGCCUCCCAAAGUGCUGGGAUUACAAGCGUGAGCCACCGCGACCCGCCAACACUCUUGACAACAGUGCUGUGCUAAGAACUUGGGGGACUUCAAAAAGUUCACCAGUUCCUGUGUCCAUGGGUGAAAAGAUUUUCUACAUCUUUCCUUGACUAGAAACAGAAGUCCUGAAACAAGAAUAUAACGUCAGGAGGCCAGAGGCUUUGUCCUGCCUAAUGUGUUAUUUCCACACUGAAUAAAAGCACCUGAGUCCUGCAUUUUAAAAAGGUUGUACAUCUAGCAAUACCUAACAAAAUAGGAAAUCAACUUGGAAAGCCAAUGGCUGUGUUUUGAGUUUAUGGAGAGCCAUAUGUGGCAAGGAACUGAGGGUGGCAUCCAGGCAACAGACUUCAAGAAACUGAGGCUGUCAGUCCAACAACCCACAAGAACUGAAUCUGACCAACAAUCACAGGAACAAACUUAGAAGUAUACUCUUUCCCAGACAAACCUUCAGAUGAGACCACAGCCCCAGCCAUAAGCUUGAAAACAAUCUCAUGAGGGACCUUGAGCCACAGGCAUGUAGUAAAGCUAUGCCAGGAAUCCUGCCUGCCCCACAGAAAAUGUAAAAAAAAUAAAUUUUUAUUGUUUUAAGCCACGAAGUUUUGAAGUAAUUUGAUAUAAAAC
rnacentral:lncRNA from 1 species